UACAGAGGUCUCAACCGUUGUUCGGAUUCAUAGGGCGUAAAGUGUGCGCAGGCGGCCGCGCAAGUCGAGUGUGAAAGCCCCGGGCUUAACUUGGGAAUUGCGCUCGAAACUACGUGGCUGGAGUGUGGCAGAGGAAGGUGGAAUUCCACGUGUAGCGGUGAAAUGCGUAGAGAUGUGGAGGAACACCAAUGGCGAAGGCAGCCUUCUGGGCCAACACUGACGCUCAUGCACGAAAGCGUGGGGAGCAAACAGG
rnacentral:rRNA from 1 species